rnacentral:lncRNA from 1 species
CUUUGGGGAUUGCAGUCAGACAAUGAAAUUCUCAAGACAUGUUGAACAGCACAAACUUCUCUCAUUGGAAAGAGAUUGGGAAUUAAUACGUAAAGUACAAGCUGCCAAGGAAAGCUCAAAGUCUUAUGGCAUUAGGAGAUGAAAAGUUAAAACUUCAGCAGGAAACGGUAAGUACUGAAAACACAAUGUAAGAAAAAGAAAAAUUCUGAAUCAGCUGUUUGCAGAUCCAUGUGACCUCAGCCAACCAGCCAUUUGCUGAUUGAUCUACAUGACCUCACUGGCGCGGAGAACGACCUGCUGAAUUCAAACUAAUAAACAAAGAUGAAGGAAAUGGCCGAGAGAGUAAGACAAGAAUGCCGACAUUUAAGAGGCCAAGUUGGAAAAGCGAAACUGGAAGCUGAGAGGUUGAGUUUGCUCUUCUGUGGCCCUGGAAGAAGAACAGAUACGGUGUUUGGAAGAGCAACAGUAACUCCGUACCGUGGAGAGAGAAGGAUAAUCAAGCUAAGGUAAACUACAACAAUCUGAAAGUGCUCAGAAAAGAGAAAUUCUCUUCAUGGAAACGAAUUAAAGAGACAACAGGAGAAACUGGAAGCCUCGGAGGCAAAGAAAGAAUUAAAAACAGAAAAC